rnacentral:rRNA from 1 species
CGAUGAGAUGGAAACGGACAGAGCUAGCGUAUCUGGCUUGCAUUCAGCUUAUGCGGUCGCUACCGAUGCGUCGCUGACCUCCAGAUUGGGGCUUUGACUAGUCGGUCGGUGGCUGUGUUGUGCAUUUGCAAGUGGAGUGCGUCGAGGCAUCUGGGAUGGCGGAAUGAACUUGGCUUUGAGGCCAGCUUGCUGGUACCCGGGCCUGGGGAUUUCUGUUCGUUCUAGGUGUUUUUGCGGUCGAACAAGGCUUUGCGAGCCUGGUUGGGUGCCGAGCUGGGUGUCGGUGGCGGUCGCAUGCGACACGUACUGUGCCACCAGUUCGGUCCUGGCCGAGCUCACUCCAUGUUCAAUCUCGGCGUAAAAGCUGGUCAUCUUUCCGACCCGUCUUGAAACACGGACCAAGGAGUUUAUCGUGUGCGCGAGUCAUUGGGCGUUGAAAACCCAAAGGCGCAAUGAAAGUAAAUGUAUCCGCUCGGAACUGAUGUGCGACCCUGGUCACUGCGGUGGCCAGGAGCAGCAUGGCCCCAUCCUGACUGCUUGCAGUGGGGGUGGAGGAAGAGCGUACGC